rnacentral:tRNA from 1 species
GGGCCAUAGCUCAGUGGUAGAGCAUCUGCUUUGGAUGCAGAAGGCUCCAGGUUCAAUCCCUGGCAUCUCCA